AGCAGCAGAAACAUUAAAUCAGAGAAACAUGGACUAGAUUAGCUCUGCAUUAUCCACAUGAUGAUGCAGUUUGAUCUGAUUAAAUGUUAAUCUUGUUCAUUGGGCCCCUUUUUACUCUGAGCCCCCCAAAGGUUUCUGUACGGCCCUGGUGUUUAGAUCCUGUUGAGCUGGGAGGUCCAGAGACUUGAAACCUGGCUGACUAGUCGGACUUCCACAACCUUCAGAUCCGUCUCCUAUCAUCGCUCCGCACCUGACUUGGGUCGAAAAGCUGCGAUGAAGAAGAGACUAGAGUCUCUCCAGAGUCGAGCUGGGAUCAGGUUCACAGUCACACCAAUCAGUCUGAGGAAAAAAGUUAAACACCAAACAUUUAGUUUAGAAAAGUCCAGGAAGCUGUUGUCCUCAGCAGGCUGACAUAGAUCCAUGGAGAGACAGACGGUAUAUUUCAUGUCAUUUAGUUUGCAACAGUUGACAGCAGUGGAUCACUUUGAGUUGAAUGAGUUGAUGUCACUCAUGACAUAAACAUUUUUUCCUCAUUUUUGAAAACGAUUCACUAUUCUGUCUGUUCUGUUCCAGCAGCCAAGACCAAAAAGGAAAGCAACAAUAUACAAUUUUAAGAUAUAAAAUGAUAAAAACUAGUUUAAUCUGAUUACUGAACUGAAAGUGGCAUCAGGUUAGAUUAGCAAACCUGAAUUUUCCCUCAGUGGGUCAAUAAAAUAUUUCAAAGUGACUGAAACGUUUCUGCUUCCGGCUUCAUCCCACAGCAUGGUGGGUUUCCUUCAGGCUGUAACAUUGUCAACAUGUUAUAGUUAUUACUGAUUUAUGCUUAAAUUCAUGUUCAGGAACAAAUCGAUUCCUCUGAACGGCUCCCUGCUGUGAACGGUGGGACUGUUUUUCAUCACGCUCUGAUCACCUCAGCGAUUGUUAUCUUUAUUUAAAUUAAAGUUAUUGAAAUAACAAUAGCAUUUGUGUAAAAAUCUGGACGUUAAAAGGAGCCACAGGUCUCCACCCCACAGCCACCAUGUUGAUACAGGAAAGAGUUCUGAUUGGUCCACAGCCGGUCGGACCGGUCUGACCUGUUACCAUGACAACAGUUCACUGUGACGCACCAAAACAACGCAUGCAGCCGCUCCUCAUGUAAAUGAGCUCUGCACAGCAGCGCUCUGCUCAGUACGUCUAAAUAUUUAAAAAGAUCAUGACUGAACAAAUCAUUAAAUCCAGAUGAUUGGCUGAAGCUGGUAUAAAGACCCCAGACUGACCUGAUGUUGGGUUUGUCUUUGACUCGUUUGUUUCUUUAGUGGAAAAAUGACUGAAACUUCCUGAUUCGAGGAAGUUUUUGUCAAGGCGUAGAUUUAAAAAUCUGAGGUAUUUUUCUGUUUUGACUCAGAUGUUUGCAGUGUCUUGAGUUGUUUAUUAAGGUACAAAUUUAGGCUCGACAAGUUUUAAAUUCACUGUUUCAUCGCCAAUAAAUCAGGUAUGUAGUGCUGAGAAAACACGUAGCAGGUGGAGACGUCCUUUAUUCGUUUUGUUUUAGAUUAAAUUCAGAAAUAAAAUCCUUCACAGGCUGAGAGCUGAACUGUCAGACCAGCAGCUUAAAAUGAUGGUAUGUUGAAUAAACUCACAGGUUCAGGAUAAUCUGCUUUAGUAACACCUUCUCUUGUUUUGUGAUGAAAAGUUUAAACCCUGUUGCCAUGACAACCCAAUGGGAACAAGCUGCAGAGCUGACAGUAGAUCCUGUCAGCUGAUGGAGACAGGUGGAGCAGCUCAGGUCUGGACUCAUCCACCAAUCAGCAUCCAGCUCAUAGCGUCACCUGGUUCAACCUGUCUGACCAGAACCACUGACUUAUCAGCAGCCAGGCAGGAAAUCUGUCAUUCAGGAUGGAAACCAGUCACUGCACCAUCAGCUGUACUGGGCGGCUGAACUUCAUCAGCUUUAAACCAGACAGCACAGGAAGUAAUCUCAGCAGAACCGGGUCAGCCGGUCACUCUGCCAUGUAAAGCUAAUGGAUCAGAACCAGUGACAGCCGUGGAGUGGACCAGAUUGAAUCCGGAGACAGAAGAUGUUCUCCUCUACAGAAGAGGAAAAGGAGAAGAUCCAACCAGCCAGAACCCGUCCUACCAGAACCGGGCGAGCCUGAAGGACGAGCAGAUGAAGGACGGAGACGUGUCUCUGGUUCUGAAGAACGUGAAACCCAACGACACCGGAACAUACCAGUGUCGUCUGGAGAAGCAGACCUUUGGUCUUGAACCUGUCUGCAGCGUCCAGCUGGUUGUUCGUCCAGGUGAGGUUCUGGUUGGUUCUGAAAUGUUCUUCAGUCAUCAGAGACUCACCUGGUUCUGAUCAGCAGGGACCAAAGAUGGACUGAAGAAUGAAGGACAGAAGAACUAAGGACGGAAGAAUGACGGAGUGAAGAACGAUGGAAGCAGCCGAUCAGGGAACAAAUUCACUCUGCUGGUUUUACUUGUUCCUGCUGUGUGGCUUUAGGGGUCAAAGGUCACCAGAUAAUAACCACAGGGUUCAUGAAGUUGAAGUUUGUUCAUUUCAACACAAUAAAAACUUUUAUGCUAG